rnacentral:rRNA from 1 species
UACGUAGGGUGCGAGCGUUAAGUCGGAAUUACUGGGCGUAAAGCGUGCGCAGGCGGUUCUGAAAGUCAGCUGUGAAAAGCCCCGGGCUUAACCUGGGAACUGGCCAUGGAAACUGGCGAACUGGAGUGUGGCAGAGGGGGGUGAAUUCCGCGUGUAGCAGUGAAAUGGCGUAGGAUAUCAGGAGGAACACCCGUGGCGAAAAGCGGCUCUCUGGGACGGUACUGACGCUGAGACGCGAAAGCGUGGGGAGCAAACAGG